GACGAACGCUGGCGGCGUGCCUAAUACAUGCAAGUAGAACGCUGAAGAGAGGAGCUUGCUCUUCUUGGAUGAGUUGCGAACGGGUGAGUAACGCGUAGGUAACCUGCCUUGUAGCGGGGGAUAACUAUUGGAAACGAUAGCUAAUACCGCAUAACAAUGGAUGACCCAUGUCAUUUAUUUGAAAGGGGCAAAUGCUCCACUACAAGAUGGACCUGCGUUGUAUUAGCUAGUAGGUGAGGUAACGGCUCACCUAGGCGACGAUACAUAGCCGACCUGAGAGGGUGAUCGGCCACACUGGGACUGUGACACGGCCCAGACGCCUACGGGAGGCAGCAGUAGGGAAUCUUCGGCAAUGGGGGCAACCCUGACCGAGCAACGCCGCGUGAGUGAAGAAGGUUUUCGGAUCGUAAAGCUCUGUUGUAAGUCAAGAACGAGUGUGAGAGUGGAAAGUUCACACUGUGACGGUAGCUUACCAGAAAGGGACGGCUAACUACGUG
rnacentral:rRNA from 1 species